rnacentral:rRNA from 1 species
AACGAACGCUGGCGGCAUGCCUAACACAUGCAAGUCGAACGCGUGUAGCAAUACACGAGUGGCGGACGGGUGAGUAACGCGUGGGAACCUGCCCAGUGGUAGGGAAUAACUGCGGGAAACUGCAGCUAAUACCCUAUACGCCCUUUGGGGAAGAUUCAUCGCCAUUGGAGGGGCCCGCGUCGGAUUAGCUAGUUGGCGGGGUAAUGGCCCACCAAGGCAACGAUCCGUAGCUGGUCNGAGAGGAUGAUCAGCCACACUGGGACUGAGAUAGGGCCCAGACUCCUACGGGAGGCAGCAGUGGGGAAUAUUGGACAAUGGGGGAAACCCUGAUCCGGCAAUGCCGCGUGAGUGAAGAAGGCCUUCGGUUGUAAGUACUC